rnacentral:snRNA from 1 species
GUGCUAUCUUUGGCAGCACAUAUACUAAAAUUGAAACAAUACAGAGAAGAUUAGCAUGGCCCCUGUGCUUUUUCAUUUUAUGUAGUCCCACUUGUUUAU